rnacentral:rRNA from 1 species
AUCUGGGCGGCGGAAUUCAGGGUGGCUGGCGUGCUCUCGCGGUGCGUCGGUCGUUUGAUAUUUCCGUCGCCAACUAACCGCAGACGUCGCGACCUGUUCGCGGUCGGUCCCUGCUCGGAGGAGCCGCGUUCGAGCUCGUUGUGUGCGCGUUUCGGCGCGUCACACGGCGAAGGCGCGGAUUUCUGGCUGGCCGUCGGACAGUAUGCUUAACGGUGUCCGGUGUCGUCGUCUCGUACGCGCGGCAUCGGUACCGGUCAGCGACGAAUUCUUCGGGCCUCUUUCCGACCCGUCUUGAAACACGGACCAAGGAGUCUAACAUGCGCGCGAGUCGCGGGGUAUCGAGCGUACUUCGGUGCGUUCGUUAUGUUGCGAAACCCGUACAUGUCGAAGGCGUAAUGAAAGUGAAUGGGGAAGAUGGUGUUCCGAGUACACGUUCCGCGAUCGUCGGUAUCGCGGCCGGGCACCCGCACUCCCGGGGCGUCUCAACGGCCCGUCGUUGAUGCGGACAGUCGUCUUUCGGGGCGGCUGUCGGUCGACGACGAACCGA